GGAAGGGUCGCAUAGUGGUCUAGUGCGCCUGCUUGGAGAGUAGGUAUACCGCAAGGUAUCGCGGGUUCAAAUCCCGCCCCUUCCGCCA
rnacentral:tRNA from 3 species